AGUCUUCACAGGACUAACAUUUUCUUUUAUACUGGUAAACAGGAAUGGCCCCUGUGAACAAUCUAUAGCCAUUCAAUCAAGGGGACAGAAUGAGCCAGGGCAAUAAGGGGUAAGAAGUUAAAAGAGGAUGAGGUUUCAGGAGAGACUACAGGGACUAGAAAUGUACAGAAAAUAUCUGGCCUUAAGAUUAGCCCCGAGUCAAGCGGAGAAUGGUCUCUUUUAUCCCUGAAAAGAGGGAAUGCACUGAGCAGAUAAUGGGAAGUCAAAAACUGUGCUCCUAUUCCUAUGAACUCUCAUUACUGCAAUUUGAGCAGAUACGGAGUCUCCUCUAAAAACACUCUAUUUAUCAACUGAAUGUGCUUAACCCCGAGAGGUUUCAUAACAUGAAGAUCUGUCGAUGGUGGAGGGUUUGGGAGGAGCCACUGAACUCAGAAUAGAGGUGAUGCUUCCGAGAAAAGGUUCCUUUUUUUCCACUUGACAAAAGGAUAGGACACAUGCAGUUUCGAAGCCAUAUCACACGAUGACAGCCAUACUCAGCACGUAGUCGCUGUGAGGCACAUACAGGGAAGAAUUCAACCUGAUACCCUCACCAGGUGAGAGGUAUGGAGACCCAGUGGAUUUCAGCUAAGAGAUAUCUUUUCUGAAGGGCAUACUUGGCUUGUGUCUGCAACUGAGUAAAUCUGAAAUAUCCCACUUCUACCAAUGAUUACGUAAGGUUGCUGGCCUGUUUCCUCAUCAACACCACAGAGGAAAAACAUUAGCGAGGAAGGAAAAGUACUAAAGCAGAAGAUAUCUAUUCCUUAGUCUGUUAAAAGGGACCUACAAUCAACUGAUAUGCCAGGAAAUUUACAUCUCCGAAUGAUUCUUUAUCAUAAACUAUUCUUUUCCCUGUGGUCUCUACUUUGGCAAGCAGUGUGACAAAUAUGUUUCACCUUUUCCCAACCAACCACCUGGUGGUCAUCCUUCCUUCCUUCUACCUUUGCUCUUCCCAGUGAACCACCAAAUUCUCCACAUGUGAGUCCUUGAGAACAGGGAUUUUGUCUUAUUUGCUCCUCAACCCCAGUGACUAAAACAAUCCCCAGCACAUAGCAGGCACUCCAUACAUAUUUGUUAUAUAAAUGAAUAGUGCAUAGUUACCACCCCAUAACCAUCUGCUAAAUGAAGGACUGGAUGCUUUAAGCUGCAUUCUCACAAAACAGGAAGAACAUACAAAUUAUUCUCCUUUACUUAAAUGUUUCUAAUAAUUUCUUCUUAUAAAUAAGAAUAUUAAAUCAUAUGAUGCAGUUUUGUUUUCUAUCAGAACAACAGGACAUUAUGUGUUUUGUUAGAAUGUUCAAAUGUUAGUCUUCUGGCUGUUGAGUUUCAUAGUUAAACAAGAAGUUUUUCAGUCUUCAGACUUUAUAAAAAUCUGUAAAAUCCCUCUAUUCAAGUUAUACUUAACAAGGGGUCUUCUGAAAUGUGCGUUGAGAAAAUUGGAAACAACUUAGUGACUCAAAAGAAUAAUAUUUCAUAAAAUCCUAUGGAGUAAAAAGCCAGAUCCCAUGGGGCCACUCACUGGGUGUAUUAGGCAAUUUCAGAAAACAUUUUCAGAAAACUUCUUCAGAUAUGCUGUAUGCUACUUGGUGGACAGAAGUAACUUGUCAUAUGUUGCCCACGACGUUUGAGUGGCUAGCCUCACUUUUCAAUUAAAACGUUUUUAUUUGAAUUGGUUGUAGUAGAAUAGGGUUCUAAAGGACUGAUGUGCACUCUUGCUAGAAAGUAUGUGGCCUUGCCUUUUACUUUGUAUCAAGUCUGUAGUCAAAUCAGCUUGCAUUGCUUUGCUUCAUAAAAAUAGCAUAAAAUGUGCUACAAAUAAUACAAAUAAAUAAAAGGAAAGUACAUUCAUGCCCGCAUCUGUGUUUGACUUGCAAAAUAAAAGACUUCAUGAAA